UCCCCGAUUUUCUCCUCCUUCACGCGAUUUUUUUUCUCCCGAUUCCCCUCUCGCGACCUCUCCUCGCCUGAUCGUCGGCCGCCCAAGAAUUCACCGCCGAUGGAGGUCUUCUCCUCCAGCAAGCCUCACCGUGGUGAAGCCCUUUUCAAGUCGUCCUCUCCUUCCUCCUUACCGUCAAACCAUCGCCGACGCUGCCCUAUGCCGCGCUGCCAGCGGACGCUGCCCGACGCUGUGAUACUUGACGGACACUGAGCCACAGCGUCAUUGAUCUCCGAUCGCCUCGCUGUUGCCGAGAUGGGAGGAGCUAUCACCUUCUCUGGCGAUCCUUGUGCGCGAUCGUCGACGAUUCGAUACCUAGGGCACUGCGGCGAUUGUCUAGGGGAAGGCAUCGGAACAAAUCCUAGAUGGAAUUCCUCCGGGCAGAUCACUGUCCUCUGCAUUCUUGCGGCCGAGUAAGGUUUCAGUUGACGAUUUGGGGGCUGUUUGAGGACUUGGAUUCGGGAUGAGUGUCUCGACGCGGGAUUACUUGGCACGAUCUACAUUUUAAGG